GCCAGCAGCCAUAUCACUCUGGAGCUCACAGCUCACAGCUGGCAGCCCCACUGAAGCUCAGCAGGUGUGAGCCUGGUCAGUACCUGGAUGGGAGACCCCCUGGGAAAAACUAAGGUUGCUACUGGAA
rfam:Lepisosteus oculatus linkage group LG8, whole genome shotgun sequence.